rnacentral:rRNA from 1 species
GACGAACGCUGGCGGCGUGCUUAACACAUGCAAGUCGAACGGAAAGGCCCUGCUUUUGUGGGGUGCUCGAGUGGCGAACGGGUGAGUAACACGUGAGUAACCUGCCCUUGACUUUGGGAUAACUUCAGGAAACUGGGGCUAAUACCGGAUAGGAGCUCCUGCUGCAUGGUGGGGGUUGGAAAGUUUCGGCGGUUGGGGAUGGACUCGCGGCUUAUCAGCUUGUUGGUGGGGUAGUGGCUUACCAAGGCUUUGACGGGUAGCCGGCCUGAGAGGGUGACCGGCCACAUGGGGACUGAGAGACGGCCCAGACUCCUACGGGAGGCAGCAGUGGGGAAUAUUGCACAGUGGGCGGAAGCCUGAUGCGGCGGCGCCGCGUGCGGGAUGACGGCCUGCGGGUUGUAAACCGCCUUCGCCUGUGACGAAGCGUGAGUGACGGUAAUGGGUAAAGAAGCACCGGCUAACUACGUG